AACGCACGAGACCUGCGGACCUGCGGAGGGAUCAUUAAUGAGAAGCUGCCCCCCGUGGGUAGACCUCCCACCCUCUGUGAACUUACCUUUGUUGCUUUGGCAGGCCCGUCCUCUGGACCGCCGGCUUCGGCUGGCCCGUGCCUGCCAGAGGAUUCCAAACCCUGUCUGUCAGUGUUGUCUGAGUCUAUAUGAAAUCGUUAAAACUUUUAACAAUGGAUCUCUAGAUCGGAAGAGCACACG
rnacentral:misc_RNA from 1 species